AGAGUUUGAUCAUGGCUCAGAACGAACGUUGAUGGCGUGCCUCAUACAUGCAAGUCGAGCGGGUAGCAAUACCAGCGGCGGACGGGUGAGUAACACGUAAACAAUCUGCCCUGAAGCGGGGAAUAACUAUCCCAACGGAUAGCUAAUACCGCAUAAUGAUGGAGGUGGCAUCACCUCUUCUCAAAAGGCUUCGGCCACUUCAGGAUGAGUUUGCGUCCCAUUAGCUUGUUGGCGGUGUAAUAGACCACCAAGGCAACGAUGGGUAUCCGGCCUGAGAGGGUGUACGGACACAUUGGGACUGAGAUACGGCCCAGACUCCUACGGGAGGCAGCAGUAGGGAAUUUUGCGCAAUGGGGGAAACCCUGACGCAGCAACGCCAUGUGUGGGAUGAAGCAUUUCGGUGUGUAAACCACUGUCAGCGGGGAAUAAAUGGCCUCUUCGGAGGCAGUUGAAUGUACCCGCAAAGGAAGCCCCGGCUAACUUCGUGCCAGCAGCCGCGGUAAUACGAGGGGGGCAAAUGUUGUUCGGAAUCACUGGGCGUAAAGGGAGCGUAGGCGGGCUCUUAAGUUAGGUGUUUAAUCCCGGGGCCCAACCCCGGACAGGCACCUAAAACUGGGAGUCUUGAAUAGUGGAGAGGUCGGCGGAAUUGGGGGUGUAGCGGUGGAAUGCGUAGAGAUCCCCAAGAACACCAGUUGCGAAGGCGGCCGACUGGACACAUAUUGACGCUGAGGCUCGAAAGCAUGGGGAGCAAACAGGAUUAGAUACCCCGGUAGUCC
rnacentral:rRNA from 1 species